UAUAUUUUAUUUUUCAGUCAAUUAACACACAUUAGCCUGUUUUCCACCAGCAGCACCAGCUUCACGGCAGCUUAGCAACGCGGUUGCGGGGCAACACAGAAGUUUCUGGUCUGAGUGGGUGAUUUUCAGUUCGGACGUUCAUAUUUUAAUCAACAUAUAGGAAACAGGUGUGCGUUUGUAGCUAGCAUGUUUUAACCCUGCUUUGAACGCGACUCUAGCUAUUUAUAACCGAUAACCGAGACUUUUGCUACUUCUAAACAACUUAUUGGGUUUAGGAUGUUCGUCUUUUUUUGUAUUUUCGUUUGUGCUUUCGCCGGUCGCUUUGAAACCACCAGAAAAGUGAUGCCCGGUCAACCAAACGGAGUCCCAGUAAACAGCGCCGACGUCUUACAGGCAGCAAGGUUUGCUGUGGUUGAGUUCAACAAAGCCAACAAAGAAGACCUGUUUGCUUACAAAAUUGUGAACAUAAUGUCGGCCAAAAAGCAGGUAGUCGCGGGAAUAAACUACAUCCUGGAAAUACAGCU